CCUACGGGUGGCAGCAGUGGGGAAUAUUGCGCAAUGGACGAAAGUCUGACGCAGCGACGCCUCGUGAGGGACGAAGGUCUUCGGAUUGUAAACCUCUUUCAGCAGGGACGAAGCGAAAGUGACGGUACCUGCAGAAGAAGCACCGGCUAACUAUGUGCCAGCAGCCGCGGUAAUACAUAGGGUGCAAGCGUUGUCCGGAUUUAUUGGGCGUAAAGAGUUCGUAGGCGGUUUCUCGCGUCGGAUGUGAAAACUCAGGGCUCAACCCUGAGCCUGCAUUCGAUACGGAGAAACUUGAGGACGGCAGGGGAGACUGGAACUCCUGGUGUAGCGGUGGAAUGCGCAGAUAUCAGGAAGAACACCAAUGGCGAAGGCAGGUCUCUGGGCCGAUUCUGACGCUGAGGAACGAAAGCGUGGGGAGCAAACAGGAUUAGAUACCCUUGUAGUC
rnacentral:rRNA from 1 species